rnacentral:lncRNA from 1 species
UUAGUGAUACGUUUAGUUAGAUUGGUUAGUUAGGUUAGUUAGUUAGUUAGCUUAAUAGAAAGAAUAGGAAGAAGAAGAAUAGGAGGAGGAUGAGAAGAGGAGAAGAGGAGGAGGAGGAGGAGGAGGAGGAGGAGAAGAAGAAGAAGAAGAAGAAUAAGAAGAAGAAGAAUAGGAGGAGGAGAAGACAAAAAUAAGAAGGAGAAGCAGAAAAGAAGAAGAAAAGAAGAGAAGAAGAAGAGAAGAAGAGAAGAAGAAUACGUUCUCCUCCUCCUUCUUCUCCUCC